CGCGAUGGGUGCUACGAUUGAGGUAGCCUGAGUGGUGCUGAAUCUUCGUAGGAUUUCGAUGAUGGGGGAUUGGUCUGGAGGUUGUCGGAGAAGCGCUGCAAGUAAGAUCGAGUCCUGGAGGUGAGGUUGGUCUGUUGUUGCACUUGUGCCGUCAGUCAGGUUCAUGCACCCGUUGGUUAAACCGUCAUGCUUGUAGACGACGAUGUUGCCCACCUUGACACAGUACAGCUCGCGAUUGUCACUAUAUCUCUAGCAUGGUUUUGUUGUAGCUAUUUGGAUGCUUUGGUGACUGGAUUCGGGAUGGGAUGGUAGUUCAUAUCAACCAACCUAUGACUGAAAUAGAAAGAUGAAGCAACGUCUAAUGAAAAUAACUUCUACAGACAAAGACAUCAUAUGGAGAAGAUUAGGCCGGUCGAUCAAAUUCAAUGAUAUGCAAAUGUUAACGCCAAUUUGAGAGGGCAGCAACUCAAAUUAGUGAACAGCAUGUAGAUCAAAUGCAACAACGAUCAAGCAUCCAUCCGAGGGAUUCAACACAACCUGGCGAUUCAUCAACAUAAAAUUCAGAUUGAUGUUUCUUCCUUUCAGUUGAAGAUGACGUUUUCUCAUGCUUGAAUGAAAGAAAAAGACGGUGAUCACGAUUAAAUUUAA